rnacentral:rRNA from 90 species
CAGUGAUAAACUGGAGGAAGGUGGGGAUGACGUCAAGUCAUCAUGGCCCUUACGACCAGGGCUACACACGUGCUACAAUGGCGCAUACAAAGAGAAGCGACCUCGCGAGAGCAAGCGGACCUCAUAAAGUGCGUCGUAGUCCGGAUUGGAGUCUGCAACUCGACUCCAUGAAGUCGGAAUCGCUAGUAAUCGUGGAUCAGAAUGCCACGGUGAAUACGUUCCCGGGCCUUGUACACACCGCCCGUCACACCAUGGGAGUGGGUUGCAAAAGAAGUAGGUAGCUUAACCUUCGGGAGGGCGCUUACCACUUUGUGAUUCAUGACUGGGGUGAAGUCGUAACAAGGUAACCGUAGGGGAACCUGCGGUUGGAUCACCUCCUUACCUUAAAGAAGC